rnacentral:rRNA from 1 species
AAUGAACGCUGGCGGCAGGCCUAACACAUGCAAGUCGAACGGAUCCUUCGGGAUUAGUGGCGGACGGGUGAGUAACGCGUGGGAACAUACCCAAAGGUACGGAAUAGCCUCGGGAAACUGGGAGUAAUACCGUAUGUGCUCGAAAGAGGAAAGAUUUAUCGCCUUUGGAUUGGCCCGCGUUGGAUUAGGUAGUUGGUGGGGUAAUGGCUUACCAAGCCGACGAUCCAUAGCUGGUUUGAGAGGAUGAUCAGCCACACUGGGACUGAGACACGGCCCAGACUCCUACGGGAGGCAGCAGUGGGGAAUCUUAGACAAUGGGGUAAACCCUGAUCUAGCCAUGCCGCGUGAUCGAUGAAGGCCUUAGGGUUGUAAAGAUCUUUCAGGUGGGAAGAUAAUGACUGUACCACCAGAAGAAGCCCCGGCUAACUCCGUGCCAGCCGCCGCGGUAA